AUCCUUUUUUAAUAGUACAGGGGUAUAUUUAGCCCUUUUCCGAAAAUAAAAUAAAAAUAAAAUAAAAUAAAGGUUACCCUUCACUGCUUUUGGCUUUGAGGUGGCGGUGGUUUUCUUCUUCGCCGGAGCAACGACCUUUGCGGCGGGGGCAAAUCCUUUUGCUUUUCUUCAAUGAAUUUUGCUAUCGCAACUUGACUUGAACCAGUUCUCUCCUUUGUGAAGAAGAAGCAGCUGGGGGCGGGGCUGUGGAGACUCUUAUAUUCUUUAUCAAUUAAGCUCUAAUCGCAACAAUGGUGUCUGCUAUUGCAAAGAAAACUGUUGCUCCUAAGAAACCCAGAUCUCAUCCUCCUUAUGCUGAGGAUCUCUUCAAUGAGAAGGUGAGGAUGAAUGGUAGAGAAGAUGGAGGCUUAUACAUAAGGUGAAGAUGAUUGUUAGAGAAGAUGGAGGCUUAUACAUACUCUCAGACAGUAUUAACACAAAAGAAGUCAAUUCUAGCUGCUACAAAUCCUAGAAAUGUUGUUUUUACUCUACUUGAUCAAAACUGCAAAUUAGAUAUAGACAUUUGGCAUAAGAGAUUUGGACAUGUAUCCAUAAAUGUUUUGAAGAAGUUACUUCCUGUUAGUUUAGAUCAUAUUACUACUACAGUGAAUAAGUGCACAAUUUGCCCAUGUGCCAAACAGACUAAACUUCCCUUUCCUAUAAGCACUACUUAUACUUCUAGCUGGUUUGACUUAGUUCAUAUGGAUUUGUGAGGACCUUAUAAAGUUGUAACUAUUGAAGGAAAUAAAUACUUUCUUACUGUU